AGAAUCAACGCUGGCGGCGUGCCUAACACAUGCAAGUCGAACGAGAAAGUGGGAGCAAUCCCAUUAGUAAAGUGGCGCACGGGUGAGUAACACGUGACUAACCUACCCUUGAGUGGGGGAUAACCUAGGGAAACCUGGGCUAAUACCGCAUAAUACCUACGGGUCAAAGGAGCAAUUCGCUUUAGGAGGGGGUCGCGGCAGAUUAGUUAGUUGGCGGGGUAAUGGCCCACCAAGACAGUGAUCUGUAUCCGGCCUGAGAGGGCGCACGGACACACUGGAACUGAAACACGGUCCAGACUCCUACGGGAGGCAGCAGUGGGGAAUUUGCGCAAUGGGGGAAACCCUGACGCAGCAACGCCGCGUGGAGGAUGAAGCCCCGUUGGGGCGUAAACUCCUUUCGAUCGGGAAGAUAAUGACGGUACCGGAAGAAGAAGCCCCGGCUAACUUCGCGCCAGCAGCCGC
rnacentral:rRNA from 1 species